rnacentral:rRNA from 1 species
UACGGGGGGAGCAAGCGUUGUUCGGAUUUACUGGGCGUAAAGGGCUCGUAGGCGGCCAACUAAGUCAGACGUGAAAUCCCUCGGCUUAACCGGGGAACUGCAUCUGAUACUGGAUGGCUUGAGUUCGGGAGAGGGAUGCGGAAUUCCAGGUGUAGCGGUGAAAUGCGUAGAUAUCUGGAGGAACACCGGUGGCGAAGGCGGCAUCCUGGACCGAUACUGACGCUGAGGAGCGAAAGCCAGGGGAGCAAACGGG